rnacentral:rRNA from 1 species
UACGAAGGGGGCUAGCGUUGCUCGGAAUGACUGGGCGUAAAGGGCGCGUAGGCGGUUUGGACAGUCAGGCGUGAAAUUCCCGGGCUUAACCUGGGGGCUGCGCUUGAUACAUCCAGACUUGAGUGGGGAAGAGGGUCGUGGAAUUCCCAGUGUAGAGGUGAAAUUCGUAGAUAUUGGGAAGAACACCGGUGGCGAAGGCGGCUCACUGGCCCGUAACUGACGCUCAUGCACGACAGCGUGGGGAUCAAACAGG